rnacentral:rRNA from 1 species
CCUACGGGUGGCAGCAGUAGGGAAUCUUCCACAAUGGGCGAAAGCCUGAUGGAGCAACGCCGCGUGGGUGAAGAAGGGCUUCGGAUCGUAAAACCCUGUUGGUAGAGAAGAAAGUUCGAGAGAGUAACUGGUCACGUUUCGACGGUAUCUAACCAGAAAGUCACGGCUAACUACGUGCCAGCAGCCGCGGUAAUACGUAGGUGGCAAGCGUUAUCCGGAUUUAUUGGGCGUAAAGCGAAUGCAGGCGGUCUUAUAAGUCUGAUGUGAAAGCCUUCGGCUCAACCGGAGUAUUGCAUCGGAAACUGGGGGACUUGAGUGCAGAAGAGGAGAGUGGAACUCCAUGUGUAGCGGUGAAAUGCGUAGAUAUAUGGAAGAACACCAGUGGCGAAGGCGGCUCUCUGGUCUGUAACUGACGCUGAGGUUCGAAAGCGUGGGUAGCGAACAGGAUUAGAUACCCCAGUAGUC